UCCGCAUCUCGUUUUGACGGGUUGUAGUUGUAAUGGCGGCCUCCACGAGCGACGUGAAUGCGGACCUCUUGUAAAUAGUGAACGAAAUUGCCGAAUGAUAGCGGCAAGAUGAAUCAGGAGAACUGUGCCGUUGUUUUAGAGACACUCCGCAAAGCGGCCAGUCAGAACGCCGAACAGCUAAAGCCUGCCGAACAGCAGCUCAAGUGUUGGGAGACCGAAAAGUGGUUUUACUCGGCUUUGUUGUCCAUCUUUUCAGACCACAGUGUAGAAGUUAAUGUGCGGUGGUUGGCAGUCUUGUACAUAAAGAAUGGCAUUGAACGAUACUGGAGGAAAACAGCUACUAAUGCAAUAUCAGAAGAUGAGAAAAAAGUUCUGAGGCAGAAGAUGAUAUCGAAUUUUCAUGAGCCAGUCAACCAGCUUGCCUUACAACUUGCCGUGUUGGUUUCCAAAGUCGCCCGCUUUGACUGCCCGACUGAGUGGCCCGAGCUUGUGCCAACCUUGCUGCAAGUUGUCCGAAAUCCGGAUGAUCUUCCACAGCAGAGGAGCCUGCUUGUGCUUCAUCAUGUCACAAAAUCGCUGGCAUCAAAACGCCUUGCUGGAGACAGAAGGGUGUUUCAAGAGCUUGCCAGCAAUAUUUUUGGAUUUAUAUUGCAACUGUGGACAAACCAAACAGAAGCCUUUCUUAACCAAAUGGCCAACAACCAGAACAACGUGGGCAUUACACUUGAAAAGUCAUAUCUCUGCCUCAAAGUGCUUCGGAAGUUGGUGGUGCACGGUUUUAAAGAGCCAACGCGUGUUCCCGAGGCAACAAUGUUCCUCACACUAGUGUUCCAAUGGAUGAAGCCUAUGCUUGAAUGCCGUAAGACCUUGAAAUGUAUUAACCCCAAUCUUCGGCUGAUCUGUGAGAAGUAUGUAGUACUCUUCACGAAAGUGCUGCACGACGUUUUGGAACUGCAUCCAUUCUCGUACAUCCCAUUCAUCAAGCCGUCGUUAGAGACUGCGGUUUCCCUAUGCUUCACAGAAGCUGGAGAAGGUCUUCUUUUUGAAAGGUUCAUUGUCCAGUCCCUGAACUUGAUCAAGGCCAUUGUUUCAUGUGCUGAGUACUCUCCUUCAAAGAUUCCUGACGACGUACAAGAUCCUGCCACAAUGGAAGCUGCUCAGAUAAAAAUGACCUUCUUCACUUAUGCUACGGUGACAGAGAUGUGCCGGCGGCUGGUGCUGCACUAUUUUUUGCUCACUGAGGAAGAAUUGGCUACGUGGGAUAAUGACCCUGAGGGAUUCGCAUCAGAUGGAGGUGGAGAAGCAUGGAAGUUUUGCCUAAGGCAAUGCAGUGAAGUCGUGUUCCUGACGAUCUUUCAUGAAUUUCGGGAGACAUUGGCCCCACUACUGCUCGAGAUGAUCCAGGGGAUCCAGCCAGCUGAGGGCUCCAUCAGCUUUCAGGCUAUGCUCAACAGAGAUGCAGUGUACACAGCUGUCGGACUCGCCGCCUUUGACUUACAUGAUGAAUUGGACUUCGACAAUUGGUUUCUUCACGUCCUCAUUCCAGAAUUGAAAGUUUCUGAGCCAAGGUACCGCAUUGUGCGUCGUCGUGUAGCCUGGCUAAUUGGCCAGUGGGUUGGCGUAAAAAUGUCACCUGAGCUGAGGCCCGUCCUGUACAAGACUCUGAUUGACUCCCUUGAUCCAUCUGAGGAUCUUGUUGUUCGUCUCACAGCAGCCGGAGCUGUCAAAGCUGCUGUUGACGAUUUUGAGUUCAACACCGAACAAUUUCUUCCGUACUUAGAAUCCUAUGUGUCACUCCUGUACAAGCUGCUGCAGCAAGUGACGGAGUGUGAUACCAAGAUCAGUAUCCUACACGUCACAUCGUUCAUCAUUGAACGAGUGGGAAGCCAGAUAAUGCCGUUUGCAGGCGACCUGGUUCAGUACCUGCCCCUUCUUUGGGAAACUUGUGGUGAACAUCACAUGCUACGCUGUGCCAUUGUCACCACACUCGUCCAGGUGGUGAAUGGCCUCGGCGCGCAGUCUGAGCGACUGCAUCCCUUCCUGGUGCCAGUGGUGGCGUUCGGGGUAGAUGUUCGUCAGUCCCCACAUGUCUACCUGCUCGAGGACUGUCUCGACUUGUGGUGGGCGCUGUUGGCAAACACACGCUCCACCUCAGUAGAACUGCUGCAGCUGGCACAGUAUCUUUUUCCUCUCUUUGAACUUGGCACUGAAAAUAUGAAGAUGUGCCUGCAGGUAGUACAAGCAUACAUCCUUCUCUUUCCUAAAGAGUUCCUACAGACUUAUGGCGACCGACUGCUGAAGGCAACCACAGACCUCGUAUGUGAUUUGAACCGUGAAGGCAUGCUGUUUAUCAUGAGGAUGGUCGAACUCGUAAUCCGGGUCUUCCCAGAACAGGGCCCACAGCUUUUCUACCCUCUUCUGGUUCAUGCAUUGGAGGAGUGUCUGGAAGGGGAGAAAGCUUCCAUGCUGACGUCAGUCUGCCUGUCCAUCAUUUCUCGUGUCAUCUUACAUUGCAAGUCCUGCUUUACCAAACUUCUUCAAGAAGAGGCACAGGGCAAGGGUUGUGAUGCAGAGGAAGUCUUUGGGAACCUGCUGGACAAGUGGAUCGAAAAGAUGCCUCUUGUUAACCCAGUUGAGAGGGAGAAGCUUCUGGCCCUUACGCUCACUUCCAUACUCACGUCUAAUUCUAAUGCCGUGUACGAACGGAUAUGUGGAAUUCUUCUGGCCAUUGUGGAAGUGUUGAAUGAUGUCACAAAAUGUGACAAUUUGGGAGCACAAGUGGAUUCUCUAGUUAUGGUGGACAGUGAACCACUUCCACCAAAUGAAGAAGAAAGUGAACAUGACCGCCGAAAAAUAGAGCUGUCCAGGCAGGACCCAGUGCACACAGUGGCCCUGCGGGACUACCUGUGCUCUCAGAUGCGCAGCCUGCGCGAGUCGCUCGGCGAGCACAACUUUGAGGAGCUCAUGGGCCAAGUAGACGUGGAGACGAUGCAGCAGCUGAAGACUUACUUGGAAGGAGGCAACCAGUCCAAUGGGGGUGGCGCAGUGCACGCCGCUCUCUUCGCCUCUGCUAACCUGAACAGUACGACCACCCACCACGCCCCAAACACUCACCAGACCUGAUAGACUGCCACAAUUCUGCUGCCCUCACUUCCACUCUCGCUCUUCGACCUAUUUUUUUUUUCUGAUGAUGAAAAACGAAAAAAAAGAUAUGAGAGUGGUUUGUAUGUAAAAAAAAGACAUAUGCUUAGUCGGAUGAAGGCGUGCUGUGAAGAAUAACAAAUUCUGGCCAGCUUUGACAUUGUGUACGCUGUAGUGAUGUGCAAAAGGAUGUUGCAGCUUUUCUUUUGUCUUUUUUUUAACAGUUUGUAGCUCAGGAAGAAGGAGGAUAGGGAUGUUCCUGCUGCAAUUGAUGUGGGCAAAAUGUUAACAACUUUACUGACAUUGGUUGCUUGUCUGUUUAGGCUUUGUCCAUACCGCGUUUUUAUCACUUUAUAUUUUGGUGUAUGACUAACGGAAAGCAUUUCUGAGCUUUAGGGUUCGUGGUUGAACGGCAUGCUUUGUAUUUACAGUGAACUUGCAAAUGUUUGAGGCUAUUGCACUGAAAAUGACCUGAAUGCUAGCAUGUAUUAUUGAAUGGAUGUGUGCAGAGGGACACAGUUAGGUGCUUUUUUUUUUCAAAUGAAAUGUUUUGAAGCCGCUUUAAUUUCCAUAAGGGCACUUGCUUGGGCCAGUUGGUAUCAAUUCAUUGUUACGUUAUUGCGCACCGCUUUGCACUUGUGUUCAUGUGGUUCAGUCUUCAUGCUCAAAGUGGUGUGCAAUAGCGUAACAAUGAUUUAAUUUCCAGCCAUGCCAAGGCAGCCUGCUGGCUUCUUAGGUGCUUCUGUAAGCUAAAUUGAAUGAACGAAAUUAUUUUCUUUUUUUUUUUUUUGUGCUGGUAAUGAAAUGAAAGCAUGCUAUUGCAUUUGAAUGUUUAUUGUUCACUGUGCAGUUUUUCAUUGGGGAACAAAAAGAAAGCGCACAAAUUCAUUGUGGUUAAAAAUAUCUUUUAAUUUAUCUGCUUGUCCAGUCAGUUUUGUUUUAGCUUUAAUACUGUAAACAGUAGUGGCUGUGCACUUUCUUGCCAUGCUAGGUUCAAAUUCGAUAAUGACAAAUUGCUUGUUCAAGCAAUCUGUCAUUGUCAAGUACCUUCUUUUCCCUGGGUGUGUCUGUUGUACUUUGAGAUUGCCUGGCUGAGGUAUGCAUGAACACGCAAGCUUUCUUUAGGUGUUUAAGAACAUAUGGCAUAAUGCCAAAUGUAAAAUGUGCUCUUGUUUAAUAUUGUAGUGCUUUUUGAGGUAAUGACUCAUUUUUAUUUAUCGUCUUCAGUUUGACAUAGUAAAUUCAUGUAGCACUUAUGUGUCAUGAAUUGUAUGCUUUUUGCCUUAAGCACAACAGAAUUUUGCAUGAGGGUUCACCUGUUGGUGUAACAUGGAGGGCAUGAUGUUAAUUUAUCAAAAAGCCAGAAUAAAAAAAAAACACAGGUGUCAUACCAUGCAGUGUGAGAUGCUGUAUACUUAAAAUUCUUUCACUAGUGUCUUGCAGCAACACAGAACCACUGGCAUAUGAUCCCUGAUUCUUAAUUUGGCUGUCAUAUUUAGUUUUUCAUGCAAAGGUGAAUUGUUUUAUAUAAUGAAUAAUGAAAUUGCUUGUUUUGAGGAAUGACCUGUACUGGCGUGAUUUACAACACUGUCAUCUCUCAGUGAAACUGAGUGGAAGUGAAAGCUGCGCCAUUUUUUAUUUGCACUCUUGUUUAUAUUGCCAAUGACAGAGAUGCUUGUUUUUGUUACAUAAAAGCAGAGGUUGUUAAUAAAUGUUUCCCAUGCCAA